rnacentral:rRNA from 1 species
AUUAGUCAAUGCUCGCAAGAGUGAACUAGCUAACUGAAAUCACAGGAUCCACUACGUGUGGUGAAUGUAAUAACGUAAGGGAAAAAAAUGAUAUUACCUUACUAUUAGUGUUGUCCAAAAUUGGUGCCAGAAGACUCGGUAAGGCCAAAAACGCAAACGUUAGUCGUCCUAAUCAGGCGUAAAGGGUAUGUAGGCUGCUUUAAAAUUUUUAUAUUUAUAGCUAAUGUAAAUUUUUUUAAAUUUCAAAUUUGAUAGUAGUGGGUUGGGUGCGUCAGCACUCCCUAACCUAUUAAAAUUUUACAGAAGUAUAAGAUGAAUUAAAGCUAGAAUCAAAUGGAGGAUAAGUCAAAUAAUACCUAGUGUAGGGUUUAAAUCUGUUGAUAUUAGGAAGAGUACUAAUGGUGAAAGCUUUUUAUCUAGAAAUGAUUGACGCUGAGAAACGAAGGUGAGAAUAGGAAAUAGGAUUAGAUACCCAGAUACCUCUCACAGUCAACGAUGAAUGGUAGUUGUUAGUUAGUUUUAUUUAACUGAUAACGAGGUUAACACGAUAACCAUUCCGCCUUGCGAGUACGGUUGCAAAACUGAAACCAAAAAAAUUAGUCGGUCUCGAAGCAAACGAAGUGAAGCAUGUUAUUUAAUUC